AGUCACAGGUCCUGCCUGAACUCAAGAGGAAGGGAUUAUAAGACUGUGAACACCCAGAGGAGGACCAUGGAGUUACCCGGAAGUCCGUCAACCGCAAAGGCAAUUAAGGUCUCUACCAGAUCAUAGUGAAUGCCUGAGGCCCGAAAAACAUCAACCGCGCUGCGUCAACCAGGAAGACAUUUCACAUCGCUAAUAACAUUUCUCCAUCUGAUUAAGGAAUAAACCGAACAAAAUGACAGCACAAAAGAGAGAUGACACUGGUAACCAAACCAAAUUCCAAAAAAUGAAAACUACCAAGAGAACGGUGAGGAUGAAGCAUAAAGUAUGAUCCAUGUCAACUGCCACCGUGCAACAUUUUGACAUUUCAGAAAACAGUGCCAAGGGUAAAAUUCAAAAUUUGCUAAAAGCCCAAUGUAAAUCUAUCCCUCGUAAGAGCCAAAAGUUAUCCUACAACAAUAA